GCCCAAUGGUUAAAUAUUUUUAUGAAAUUAAAUAAAAAAAAACUAAAUGGCUGCAGUAACUAUGACUGUAUGAAUGUAGCAUAAUCAUUCGCCACUUAAUUAGUGGAUAGUAUGAAUGGUUAAACGAAAAUUUCUCUGUCUUAUAUAAUAAACAAAAAAUUUAAAUUAUAGUUAAGAUGCUAUAUAAAAUUGUAAGACGAAAAGACCCUAUAAAGCUUAACUAUAAUCUUUUACAAUUUAUUUAAAAAAAAAAUAAGAAAAAAAGAUUGGUAGUUUCAUUGGGGCGAUGAUCUCUAAAAAAAAACAGAGAUAAACUAUAUUUAUAAUAAAAAAAAUUUACUGUUUAAUCUAUAAAUUUAACAGUUACAAAGUAGGUUAUAAUGACCCAUUAUUUACCCAAAAAAAGAAAUAAUGAUCAAAAAAUAAAAGCUACUUUAGGGAUAACAGGAUAAUUUUUUCCAAGAGAUCUUAUCGAAGAAAAAGUUUAUCACCUCGAUGUUGAAUUAAGAUACCCCA
rnacentral:rRNA from 1 species